rnacentral:rRNA from 1 species
GGACUACCAGGGUUUCUAAUCCCAUUCGCUCCCCUGGCUUUCGUUCCUCAGCGUCAGUUAUGGCCCAGUCAGUCGCUUACGCCACCGGUGUUCUUCCCAAUAUCUACGCAUUUCACCGCUACACUGGGAAUUCCACUGACCUCUACCAUACUCCAGUCUGCCAGUAUCCAAUGCAGUCCCAAGGUUGAGCCCUGGUCUUUAACAUCAGACUUAACAAACCACCUACGAACUCUUUACGCCCAAUAAAUCCGGACAACGCUUGCAUCCUACGUCUUACCGCGGCUGCUGGCAC